rnacentral:rRNA from 1 species
GACGAACGCUGGCGGCGUGCCUAAUACAUGCAAGUUGAGCGCUGAAGGUUGGUACUUGUACCAACUGGAUGAGCAGCGAACGGGUGAGUAACGCGUGGGGAAUCUGCCUUUGAGCGGGGGACAACAUUUGGAAACGAAUGCUAAUACCGCAUAAAAACUUUAAACACAAGUUUUAAGUUUGAAAGAUGCAAUUGCAUCACUCAAAGAUGAUCCCGCGUUGUAUUAGCUAGUUGGUGAGGUAAAGGCUCACCAAGGCGAUGAUACAUAGCCGACCUGAGAGGGUGGUCGGCCACAUUGGGACUGAGACACGGCCCCAACUCCUACGGGAGGCAGCCGUAGGGAAUCUUCGGCAAUGGACGAAAGUCUGACCGAGCAACGCCGCGUGAGUGAAGAAGGUUUUCGGAUCGUAAAACUCUGUUGGUAGAGAAGACCGUUGGUGAGAGUGGAAAGCUCAUCAAGUGACGGUAACUACGCAGAAAGGGACGGCUAACUACGUG